rnacentral:rRNA from 1 species
AAGCGACCAAGCGUACACGGUGGAUGCCCUGGCAGUCAGAGGCGAUGAAGGACGUGCUAAUCUGCGAAAAGCGCCGGUAAGGUGAUAUGAACCGUUAUAACCGGCGAUGUCCGAAUGGGGAAACCCAGUGUGACUCGUCACACUAUCAUUAACUGAAUCCAUAGGUUAAUGAGGCGAACCGGGGGAACUGAAACAUCUAAGUACCCCGAGGAAAAGAAAUCAACCGAGAUUCCCCCAGUAGCGGCGAGCGAACGGGGAGGAGCCCAGAGCCUGAAUCAGCAUGUGUGUUAGUGGAAGCGUCUGGAAAGGCGCGCGAUACAGGGUGAGAGCCCCGUACACAAAAGCGCACAUGCUGUGAGCUCGAUGAGUAGGGCGGGACACGUGGUAUCCUGUCUGAAUAUGGGGGGACCAUCCUCCAAGGCUAAAUACUCCUGACUGACCGAUAGUGAACCAGUACCGUGAGGGAAAGGCGAAAAGAACCCCGGCGAGGGGAGUGAAACAGAACCUGAAACCGUGUACGUACAAGCAGUGGGAGCCCCACCACUAAGCCAGUGGUGAACUCCACAUACGCAUCCUUUGCGGAAGAUGCGGUUAACGGAGCGAAAGCGACGUUCAACCUCAGAAGAAGCAGAGGGGGCUUAGUGGUGGGGUGACUGCGUACCUUUUGUAUAAUGGGUCAGCGACUUAUAUUCUGUAGCAAGGUUAACCGCAUAGGGGAGCCGAAGGGAAACCGAGUCUUAAUUGGGCGUUAAGUUGCAGGGUAUAGACCCGAAACCCGGUGAUCUAGCCAUGGGCAGGUUGAAGGUUGGGUAACACUAACUGGAGGACCGAACCGACUAAUGUUGAAAAAUUAGCGGAUGACCUGUGGCUGGGGGUGAAAGGCCAAUCAAACCGGGAGAUAGCUGGUUCUCCCCGAAAGCUAUUUAGGUAGCGCCUCGUGAA